CCUCCCUGGGCCCCGCCCCCGACACUGCCCUUCUCGGGACUAGACCCCCUCUGCGCCCGGGCGCCCCCUGCACCCCAGGAGCCCCACUCCUUCUUCUUUAGUGCGAGUGCGCCCGAGCGUUGACUUUCGGGGACUCCCUCUCCCCCACCUCGCAGAGACCUUCUGUGGCUCCCCCCCCCAUCCGGCCGCUCAGACGUGGCUGUUGGGGGUGGGGGUUGGAGAGGGCGGGCUAUAAAGGGCCCGAGGCUGCGCGGGCCGAGCCCCAAGACGUGGCGCGCCCACCCUGCCGGCCUCAUCUCCAGCCACAUGGCUCGAGACACUGCCAGCUCAUCGGAGCAGAGCCCAAAGGAGGCUGGAAAGACCACCACGGAUACCCGGAGGAGGUGAAGACACUGCUGUAGGUCAGGAGUGCCCUCAGAGGGAACCCUGGAUAUUUGUGAUCUUUAAUGACUGGACGAGAUUGUAUUGACAUCAUGAAAAAUCUCAGUCUGGAAAUCAUAGCCUCUGGGCAUUUACAUCUUAACCAGAUUUUCGUACAGAUGAGCGGGGGACACAUCACAGUCAUCAGCUACAAGUGGUCUUCUACUCUGGUUUUCCUCCUUUUAGAUCUGUGGCAUUUAAGAAUUAAUAAAACUGCUAGAUCAACAACCCCA